rnacentral:lncRNA from 1 species
AAAUUGGUUCUGGAGAUUAUUGGUGAUAAAUGAUGUUAUUUUUGUUAAAGUCGGUAUAGAGAGAGAGAGAGAAAAAAAUAGAAUAAAACUGAAAAAUUCAGACAUUUUAUUUUGUCGUCACAUCGCACAUCGAAUUUUAAAAAAAUUCUAUUUCAGGUGUUACUUACGUAAACAGGUGUAAUUCUUUGGUAUGGUAGUUUCUAGAUGAGGUAAGUAGCUCAGGCGUUAUCCUAUUAUAGUUUCCGAGCUAUAGAUUACUACUUGAACCUGAAGGCAUCACGAGCUGCAGUCCUUCAGGUAGGGAGGAACACGGGGGAGAAGGCGUUACCGGUGCUGCGGCUCAGUCUUUCGCGCUCGUGCGUCGUUGGCCUCGCUCGUCGCGGAGAACCGGAUCUUUCUGUCGAUUCCAACUUUACUCCCGAAGUUUUUUUUGGUUGAGGAUUCGAGACGAAGAGCGGAUAAACGGAAGGAGCUAAAGGGGAGAAACCUGGAGGAAGUAAAGGGAGGUCAAACGUCGAAGUAACCAUGGAGGUUCCUGGUAUGCAGGUGAGUCGGAAGGUGCACGCGCGCCCUCGCUUCGGGGAAAUAAACAUCAAACAAACCGACGAGUCUUAGCGAACAUUUUUGUGUUGCGUUUAGGGACCCUCUUUCAGUGGAAAACGCAACCGCGCGGAAAGUUUUCAGAGCAAUAACGCUUCUCAUCUUUUCUUGUUUCUUUCUUAAAAGUUGGCAUUCAUUUAAAACUGUAAAAAUUAUCAGGGUUUGUUUUUAAUUAGGGCUUUUAAAUCAUCACAUUGAACGCAUUUAGCUGAAUUGAAAGCUAGUGUCUCUUUAAAAACCCUCAACAAAAAUAGUUUACAAUUUCAUUUUUAAUGAUUGGUUUGAAGACGUUAGGCCUUAAUAAAGGGCUUCAGACGGACAGUAGAUAUUUGUUGUUAACCUAUUGACGCUUUCUGAGAUACAAAAACAAAAUCUCCAUCCAUAUUUGACCAUAAAUCACUUGGAGCAUUUCUUCCUGUUUAUAUGUUAGCAUUAGCCUGCAGCUGCAGAUAAAAC